GUGUCAGCAGCCGCGGUAAGACGGAGGGCGCAAGCGUUGUUCGGAAUUACUGGGCGUAAAGCGCGCGCAGGCGGUCUGUUAAGUCUGCGGUGAAAUCCCGGGGCUCAACUCCGGAUAUGCCGCGGAUACUGGCGGACUAGAGACCGGUAGAGGCGAGUGGAAUUCCAGGUGUAGCGGUGGAAUGCGUAGAUAUCUGGAAGAACACCGGUGGCGAAGGCGGCUCGCUGGGCCGGUUCUGACGCUCAGGCGCGAAAGCGUGGGGAGCAAACAGGAUUAGAUACCCUGGUAGUCCACGCCGUAAACGAUGGGCACUAGAUGCCGGGUCUAUAGACGGAUUCGGUGUCGCAGCUAACGCAUUAAGUGCCCCGCCUGGGGAGUACGGCCGCAAGGCUGAA
rnacentral:rRNA from 1 species